rnacentral:rRNA from 1 species
GUAGGNGGCGAGCGUUAUCCGGAAUUAUUGGGCGUAAAGGGAGCGCAGGCGGNANNGUAAGUCUAUCUUAAAAGUGCGGGGCUCAACCCCGUGAGGGGAUGGAAACUAUCUUUCUUGAGUGCAGGAGAGGAAAGCGGAACUCCNUGUGUAGCGGUGAAAUGCGUAGAUAUUAGGAGGAACACCAGUGGCGAAAGCGGCUUUCUGGACGACAACUGACGCUGAGGCGCGAAAGCCAGGGGAGCAAACGGGAUUAGAUACCCCGGUAGUCCUGGCCGUAAACGAUGGAUACUAGGUGUAGGAGGUAUCGACCCCUUCUGUGCCGGAGUUAACGCAAUAAGUAUCCCGCCUGGGGAGU